CCCAGGUCCUUCAGCACCAUUUCUUUUCUUCACUGCUGAGCUCCGUUUCCUUCUCCAUGAAUCAGAUGUCUUGGGAGGAGUGAGAGUUCUGAGGAGCGGUCAGGAUGGAGGAUCCCCUCACAUCACCGGAUGGAUCCAGGAGGAGAAGUCCCCCUGAGAGAUGUCCCCAUCCUCUGUAUUCCCAGGACUGUCCAGAGGAGAAGCUCCCAGAGAACCAUCAGGAUGAAAAUCUGAUGGAUGUUAAGGCUGAGGUUAAAGAUGAAGCAAAAGAGGAGACGGAUUUAUGGGGCGAUCAGCAG